GAUGAAGAACGCAGUGAAACGCGAUAUUUCUUGUGAAUUGCAGAAGUGAAUCAUCAGUUUUUGAACGCACAUUGCACUUUGGGGUAUCCCCCAAAGUAUACUUGUUUGAGCGUUGUUUCUCUCUUGGAAUUGCUUUGCUCUUCUAAAAUUUCGAAUCAAAUUCGUUUGAAAAACAACACUAUUCAACCUCAGAUCAAGUAGGAUUACCCGCUAAACUUAAGCAUAUCAAUAAGCGGAGGA
rnacentral:misc_RNA from 1 species